AAUGAAACAAACUUACACUUUUUGUCACAGUGGUCUGAAAGAAAAGCGAAAGACUCUUAUAAAAAAAUUAAUCAUAGUUUCUCGAGAAAUAAGAGGUUAAAGUAUAAAAACAACAACAUCAUAUGCUGUAAAGAAUUAUUGGUGUAGUUUGUGUAUCAUAGGCAGUACCAUCCCAACUGUAAUGCUAGACGUGAUAAAUGUAUGGUACUGCAAAACACAUUUGAACUUCCGUGAAUAAAGAGAAAUUAAUCUUUUAAAGAAGAAAUGUAUUGGUCUCCUACUUUCCUUAAGCAAUGAUAAAUAUUCUGAUUACAAUAAUUAACUUCCUCAAAUUAAUAUUCUGAGAGGGAAAAAUUUCAUUAGCAUUUAUUUUUCAAAUAGCCUUUAAAAUGAUCUCUAUUUUAAAAAUUUAUUUCUAUUAGUAUUUGAAUUUUCUAUUAAGAUCUAAAUUUUUAAAAAAUCAUUUGUAUCUUCAGGAUGUCACUAAUGAUGUAGAGGAGGAGCAAAGUGAACCUGACAGUGACAUGAUGGUUAUUGAAGAGGAGAAAAUGACAAGAAUGUACCAGUGUCAUCAAGAAAGAUUCUAGCGAAAAAAUCAACUGGGACACGAGCUAUUCAGUCUAAAAGCAAGCAAAAUGAUGACAAACAGGAAAUACCACUAGAAUCUCAUCCUCGCCAUCGAACAAGGCCAAGAAAGGUUUUUGAAAAACUGUCUAACGAUAUCACUAAUGAUGUAAAGGAGGAACAAGCUGAAUCUGACGUUGACAUACUGAUCGCUGAGGAAGAGGUAAUUUUCCAUUCUUUAUAUGAAAAGUUUGAAAUAGUUCCCUGUAAGAUCCAGAACUGUGUGGGGUCAUUUUAAGACGAAUCAUUGUAGAUACGUCUUUUUAACUUAUGCAUUCCUGUUUGUAACUCUUAUUUAAAUAUGUGUAUUGUAAACUGUGACACAUUAGUAUUUUAAUUUGUUUAAAAACGUGUUAUGACGUAUAAAAUUUCUCAUUGUGGUCUUUAUAUUUUAUUCUGCAA
rnacentral:misc_RNA from 1 species